GAGGCGAUGAAGGGCGUACUAAUCUGCGAUAAGCGCCGGUAAGGUGAUAUGAACCGUUAUAACCGGCGAUACCCGAAUGGGGAAACCCAGUGUGAUUCGUCACACUAUCAUUAACUGAAUCCAUAGGUUAAUGAGGCGAACCGGGGGAACUGAAACAUCUAAGUACCCCGAGGAAAAGAAAUCAACCGAGAUUCCCCCAGUAGCGGCGAGCGAACGGGGAGGAGCCCAGAGCCUGAAUCAGCAUGUGUGUUAGUGGAAGCGUCUGGAAAGGCGCGCGAUACAGGGUGACAGCCCCGUACACAAAAGCGCAUGUGCUGUGAGCUCGAUGAGUAGGGCGGGACACGUGGUAUCCUGUCUGAAUAUGGGGGGACCAUCCUCCAAGGCUAAAUACUCCUGACUGACCGAUAGUGAACCAGUACCGUGAGGGAAAGGCGAAAAGAACCCCGGCGAGGGGAGUGAAAAAGAACCUGAAACCGU
rnacentral:rRNA from 1 species